AUUGAACGCUGGCGGCAUGCCUUACACAUGCAAGUCGAACGGCAGCACGGGAGCUUGCUCCUGGUGGCGAGUGGCGAACGGGUGAGUAAAGCAUCGGAACGUGUCCUGAAGUGGGGGAUAACGUAGCGAAAGUUACGCUAAUACCGCAUAUUCUGUGAGCAGGAAAGCAGGGGAUCGCAAGACCUUGUGCUUUAGGAGCGGCCGAUGUCGGAUUAGCUAGUUGGUGAGGUAAAAGCUCACCAAGGCGACGAUCCGUAGCGGGUCUGAGAGGAUGAUCCGCCCCACUGGGACUGAGACACGGCCCAGACUCCUACGGGAGGCAGCAGUGGGGAAUUUUGGACAAUGGGCGCAAGCCUGAUCCAGCCAUGCCGCGUGAGUGAAGAAGGCCUUCGGGUUGUAAAGCUCUUUCGGUGGGGAAGAAAUUGCACUCUCUAAUACAGGGUGUAGAUGACGGUACCCGCAUAAGAAGCACCGGCUAACUACGUGCCAGCCGCCGCAGUAACAC
rnacentral:rRNA from 1 species